GCCCCCAUCGUCUAGUGGCUUAGGACACCUCUCUUUCAAGGAGGCGACGGGGAUUCAAAUUCCCCUGGGGGUA
rnacentral:tRNA from 38 species